rnacentral:rRNA from 1 species
GGUCAAGCUAGAAAGGGCUAACGGUGGAUACCUAGGUACACAGAGGCGAAGAAGGACGUGGUGACCGACGAUACGCUCCGGGGAGUUGGAAGCAAGCAUUGAGCCGGAGGUUUCCGAAUGGGGCAACCCCAAGUACGAUCUACUGAAUACAUAGGUAGAAACGAGCCAACCCAGUGAACUGAAACAUCUUAGUAGCGGAGGAAAAGAAAGCAAAAG